GACGAACGCUGGCGGCGUGCUUAACACAUGCAAGUCGAGCGGUAAGGCCCUUUCGGGGGUACACGAGCGGCGAACGGGUGAGUAACACGUGGGUGACCUGCCCUCAGCUCUGGGAUAAGCCUGGGAAACCGGGUCUAAUACCGGAUAUGACUCCAUGACGCAUGUUGUGGGGUGGAAAGCCUUGUGCGGCUGAGGAUGGGCCCGCGGCCUAUCAGCUUGUUGGUGGGGUGAUGGCCUACCAAGGCGACGACGGGUAGCCGGCCUGAGAGGGCGACCGGCCACACUGGGACUGAGACACGGCCCAGACUCCUACGGGAGGCAGCAGUGGGGAAUCUUGCGCAAUGGGCGAAAGCCCGACGCAGCGACGCCGCGUGAGGGAUGACGGCCUGGUUGUAA
rnacentral:rRNA from 1 species